UGCCUAACACAUGCAAGUCGAACGCCUGUAGCAAUACAGGAGUGGCAGACGGGUGCAAAACGCGUGGAAACCUAUCCUUGGGUUCGGAAUAACCGCGGGAAACUGCGGCUAAUACCGGAUACGUCCUUCGGGAGAAAGAUUUAUCGCCCAUUGAGGGGUCCGCGUCUGAUUAGCUAGUUGGUGAGGUAAUGGCUCACCAAGGCGACGAUCAGUAGCUGGUCUGAGAGGAUGAUCAGCCACACUGGAACUGAGACACGGUCCAGACUCCUACGGGAGGCAGCAGUGGGGAAUAUUGGACAAUGGGCGCAAGCCUGAUCCAGCAAUGCCGCGUGGGUGAUGAAGGCCUUCGGGUUGUAAAGCCC
rnacentral:rRNA from 1 species